UAGGGAAUCUUCGGCAAUGGGGGCAACCCUGACCGAGCAACGCCGCGUGAGUGAAGAAGGUCUUCGGAUCGUAAAACUCUGUUGUUAGAGAAGAACACGAGUGAGAGUAACUGUUCAUUCGAUGACGGUAUCUAACCAGCAAGUCACGGCUAACUACGUGCCUG
rnacentral:rRNA from 1 species